UAAAGUAGAGACACACAAGACAUAAUAAUAAUAAUAAUAAUAAUACUCUUUAUUGAUCUUGAGGCAUUUAGUACAAAAGACUGAUAGCAAACUGAUAAUAAUAGUAAACUGAUGAUAAUAGCAAACUUAAACCGAAUUUAAAGAUAAAUAACUAAGAUGCAUUGCCUCAAGGUCUAAUCUAGAUAACUUAACGGCGCUCUAAUUCCUUGAUCUUCUUGUUGGCACUGGCAAGAUCCUGCCUAAGGCCUAGUAUAAUAGUGUUGUGGUUAGAGAGCUGCCUAGUAAGGGAAUUAAUCGAGGACUGGAGGUCUAUGAUAACUCUAUCUAGCCUGCGAACUUCCUCAUCAAUAUCCAUUAUAGUCUUGCAACGCUUGGGAGGUGUCUCAAAAGCAUUGAGAGAGUGCUUCGGGGCUGCCUUUGGAGGGACGAAACGGACUUUGGCUGCUCUAAUCCCUUCAAAGUAAGGCCUUUCCUCCUCCGUAGUGUAGCGAAUACUGCUGAUCUCGCCGCUCCGGUUGGUCUUGACUCCAACGACCCUCUCAUUGGGUCUAGGUGGAAGGAUCCUUGUGCCGGUUGGCACCUUGAUAGUGGUCUUCAUCUUGGAUGAUGAUCCUGUGAGGAGUAGGGGUUGUGGUGGUGCGGUGAGAACUGGUUGAGCAUGGUACGAUUGGGCGGAGCUGCGUUGGCGUAAUGGCAUGGCUUCUAGCUGACGCUCUGUGUUGGCCGGGACGAGAGCACGGGCAUCGGGGUCUUCCACAGGCUCCAUGUUGAGGUUGAAGGGGACGACUUCCCAAUCGUCGUGGUACUUGUCGGCCAUUGGAGUAGCAAGGUACUAAUGAAAUUUUAAUUGAAGUGGAGCUAAUCAAGCUCUAAUUGAAGGAGAGAAAGCUUGGUGGCUUGGUGUUUGAAAACUAAGGUCAGGGGUCUGUUUAUAUAGGAGUCAAAAGGAUGCCUCUAUGGGUUGUUCGGGUUGCUCCCGUCGAUGUGCGUGCGAAACUUUCCAUUCGAGGGAUUAUUCGGAUCACCCUAAGUGCAUUUUCCAUAACAGAGAAAGUCGGGACCGAGGGGGAACAGGGGCUGGGCGCCCGCCCACUUGACCUGGGCGCCCGCCCUCUCUCUGGCCCCUCUGUGGGCCCACUUCUCCGAGCGUGUUUCUAGAUGCGAAAUUAUUUAGAAAAAUAUAUAUAUGACCCAAAACCAUCAGACCAAAAGUGUCGGGCUCUAAUUCUCCAUGGGAAGGUAAAAAUGGACUACGUCUAUUUCUUCAAAUUCCUCAUUGGGCUCUAAAAAUAAUUUAAGACGUUGACCAUUUACCUUGAAUAACGUACCUUCGCUGUUUUGAAGUGUGAUAGCUCCGUGGGAUGAUGAAUUGAUUACCUUGAAUGGUCCUUCCCAUUUGCUCCGGAGUUUUCCAUGCCCGAAAAGCUUCACCCUGGAAUUAAAAAGUAAUACCUUAUCUCCGGGUGUGAACUCCUUCUUCUUGAUUCUCUUGUCAUGCCACCUCUUGACUCUUUCUUUGUAGAUCUUUGAAUUGUGAUAUGCCUUCUCUCGCCAUUCUUCCAAUUCUGAUAGUUGCAUUCUUCUAUAAUCUCUAGCAACAUCUAGGUCCAUAUUCCAUCUCUUUAUGGCCCAGUGUGCUUUGAACUCUAGUUCAACAGGUAGAUGACAAGUCUUCCCGUACACCAAUUGGUAUGGAGACAUUCCGAUUGGGGUCUUGUAUGCUGUCCGGUAUGCCCAGAGUGCAUCGGGUAACUUGUCUUUCCACGCCGUUCCCAUUUCAUUUACUGUCUUCUGAUGAAUAUUCUUGAUUUGUUUGUUGGAAGUCUCUGCUUGGCCACUUGUCUGAGGAUGAUAAGGGGUAGCGACGUUGUGAUGGAUUCCAUGUCUUGAUACAUAUUGCUUGAAGCGUUUGUCGAUGAAGUGUGCUCCUCCAUCACUUAUCACUACUCUGGGGACUCCAAAUCUUGGAAAUAUAAUUUCUUCAAACAUCCUCUUGGAACUGACGUUGUCGGCAUGCUUGCAAGGUAAUGCCUCUACCCACUUGGAGACAUAGUCAACUGCCACCAAGAUGUACUCACACUUCUUUGAUGGAGGAAAUGGACCCAUGUAGUCUAUUCCCCAGACAUCAAAGACCUCAAUCUGAAGGUUGUUGGUGAGUGGCAUUGCAUCCCUUGUAUUUAUGUUUCCGUGCCUUUGACAUGGCCCACAUGUUAUGAUAUAUUGCUUCGUGUCUUCAUACAUUGUAGGCCAAUAGAAUCCACACUGCCAGAUCUUUGAAUGUGUACGGAAUGCUCCAUAGUGACCUCCAUAUGGUGAUGAAUGACAUCUGUCGAUGAUCUUCCAUCCUUCCUCAGUGGUCACACAUCUCCUGAGUAAGCCAUCAGAGCAUACUCGGAAGAGGUAUGGCUCAUCCCAUAUAUGUGAACGACUUUCUUGAAGAAGCUUCUUCUUGUUUGCUCCUGGUGGUACAUACCCUGAAACCAUAAAAUUAACAAUAUCUGCAUACCAGGGGUCAGACCUGUUAAUCCCGUAGAGAAUGUCGUCCCGGAGUGAAUCAUUGAUGGGGGUUUCCUGUGGACUCUUAAAAUACAUUCUAGACAAGUGAUCAGCAACAGAAUUUUCUACUCCCUUUUUAUCUUUUAUUUCUAAGUCAAAUUCUUGGAGUAAUAAGAUCCAUCUAAUCAGGUGAGGUUUAGCAUCUUUUUUAGCGAGCAAAUAUUUUAGUGCAGCAUGAUCAGUGUAAACAAUUAUUUUAGCUCCAACUAAAUAAGAUCUAAAUUUAUCUAUGGCAAAGACAACAGCCAGAAGCUCUUUUUCAUUGGUUGCAUAAUUAAGUUGAGCUCCUGUCAGAGUUUUACUGGCAUAAGCAAUUGCAUGAUGCUUCUUAUCUUUAGUUUGUCCCAAUACUGCCCCACAGCAUAAUCACUAGCAUCACACAUAAUUUCAAAAGGCAACGACCAAUCAGGGGGUUGAAUGAUUGGUGCAGAGAUGAGUGCUUUCUUUAAUAAAUUGAAAGAUGUUAGACAUGCAUCAUCAAAUUCGAAAGUAGCAUCCUUGGCUAGCAAAAGAGUAAGUGGUCUAGCAAUAAAUAAAAAAUCUUUUAUGAAUCUACGAUAAAAACCAGCAUGGCCAAGAAAGCUUCGAAUUCCUUUUAUAUUCACAGGUGGAGGUAGUUGUUCAAUUACUUCAAUUUUAGCUUUGUCUACCUCAAUACCUCUUUUAGACGCUAGGUGUCCCAGCACUAUUCCUUCCCUAACCAUAAAAUGACAUUUUUCCCAAUUAAGGAUCAAGUGCUUUUCUUCACAUCUUUGCAAAACCUUGUCUAAGUUUUCAAGACAACUAUCAAAAGUUUUUCCAUAAACAGAGAAAUCAUCCAUGAAAACUUCCAUAAUCUCUUCAAUCAUAUCAGAAAAUAUAGACAUCAUGCAUCUUUGAAAAGAAGCUGGUGCAUUACAUAACCCAAAAGACAUUCUACGAUAAGCAUAAGUUCCAUAAGGGCAUGUAAAAGUGGUUUUGCUUUGAUCAUCGGGAUGGAUCGGGAUUUGAUGAUACCCUGAAUAUCCAUCUAAAAAACAAAAGAACGAAUGGUUUGCUAACCGCUCUAGCAUCUCAUCUAUAAAAGGUAAAGGAAAGUGAUCCUUUCCCGUGGCUUUAUUUAGUUUUCUAUAGUCUAUGCACAUCCGCCAUCCUGUGACGGUGCGUUGCGGAAUUAGCUCAUUCUUUUCAUUCAUAAUAACUGUCAUGCCUCCCUUUUUAGGCACAACUUGCACUGGGCUCACCCACUCACUGUGCGGCACAGGAUAUAUAAUCCCUGCAUGUAGCAGCUUUAUAACUUCCUUUUUAACUACCUCUCUCAUAGUGUUGUUAAGUCUACGUUGGGGUUCUCGAGAGGGUGUAACAGAAGGAUCUGUUGGAAUACGAUGUGUACAAAUCAUAGGACUGAUUCCUGUAAGAUCUUGAAGUGAAUAGCCAAAAACUGAGUGAUGUUUCUCAAGGAUGGUCAUUAUUCGCAGAGUUUGAUCCUGAGUGAGUUUAUCGCUAAUGAUCACAGGGAACUCUGGAUUAUUGUUUAGGAAAGCAUAGGUAAGACCGGGUGGUAAAGUUUUAAGCUCUAUGGGGGGUCUAGGUGUUUCUGCAAACUCAUCUAAGGGUUCAGGCUCAGAAGGUUCGUCUUCUUCUUCAGUGAAGAAAGGAGUUUCGUCUUCUAAGUCUGGUUCAUCUAAAAGCUCUAGAGAUGCAGCCUUUACUUCCUCCAUAGGAUCAGGCAAAAGAUAUGACUCGGCCUUAUUGUUUAAGGAGUGUGAAAUUAUUAUUGGGAAUUUAAGGGUUUUUCCAAAAGAAAUGUGUAGCUUUCCAGUAUGACCUUCAUAAAGGAGUCUUCUAAAAGGUUGUCCUAUCAACAGGUCGAAGUCCCAUGUAUCAAAGAUAUAGAAGUUCAAAUGAACCAUGGAGCCUUCUACCGUGAGAGGUAGGACAUUAAUAAUUCCAAGACUGGGGACUUAUCGUCCCGAAGAUUCCUUUAUGACCUUUGUUGUGGGGGUUAAGAUAAGAUUUUUAAAUAGUUUAAGUGUAAAGGAUUCAGACAUAAUGUUGAUCCCCACAACAGGAUUAUAGAGAGCAUUAAAUCGAUCAGAAUUAUAAGCACAGCGUAUAGUUAUAGAGGGUGUGUCCAAACGGAUCACAUCAGAGGAAAGCUCUGAUUCCUCCAACCAUUCGCUACUCAUUACUGAGAUAAGCUCUCUCAAUUGAUAUUCACUUGGUAAAUAAAUGCUAAACUGGCCGUUUUGGGGUUUGUCAAUAGAAUGGUAGUUUGAAAUAUUUCCAAAAUCGGCAAAAAGAUCGGAUUCUAUAUCCAGCAUGAAGUCCGGUGGUGGAAUUUCUUCCUCUUGUGGCUUAGAACUUGGGAUAGCUAAAGUAGAUGAAGAAUUUGGCAGAGUGUCUACUUCGGCUUCGUAGGUUUCAUCAUGAAGGGUAUUAUCCAUCUCAGCUUCUAGGAUUCUAUCUAGGAUCACUCUAGCUUCAUCAGCAGGGAUGCAAAAGAAAGAACCUCUAGACAUUGUGUGAAGCAUUUGUUUGUGAUUUUUCUGAAGACCUCGAAAAAAGUGAAAUAAAAGAACAGGGUCUUCAAGAUUAAGGUUUGGACCAGAUUCUAAAAGAUCAGAAAAACGUUUCCAGGAUUUUCCCAAAGUUUCAUUAUCUUUUUGUUUAAAAGAUAGGACUUCGAGUCUAAGGUCAGCUAUACGGUCAAGGGAAUAGAAAUCUAGACAAAAGUUGGCUCGUAAAACUCCCCAUUCACCUUGUUGUUGACUUACCUUCUGACUGUACCAAUGUCUAGCUUCUCCCCUUAGAGAAAAAGGAAAAAGCUUCCAACGUAAAGUCUUAUCAGAAAUGCCUUCAAUGCGAAGACAAUCACAUGUUUGCUCAAAAUCUCUAAUAUGAAGGUAAGGGUUUUCGUCUUCCUAUCCCGAAAAAGAUAGGUUUUGAAUCAUGGCAAUCAACCUAGAACUUAACUUAUACUGGGAUGUUUGGAUAGGCUGUGAUGAUUCCCACGGUAAAAGGUCAGUUGCUAAAGGGAUUGCAGACUCAUGGAUCGAUUUAGAAUUUUGGUUUUCCAUAAGGUAAGAAUAAAGAAAAUAAAUAAAGGAUAUAAAAGAUAAGAAAAGAUAAAAGUAUAGAUACAAGCUAGUAGCAAGACACAGGUUAUCUCAGCAACCGUCUUUCUCCCCGGCAACGGCGCCAGAAAUGCUUGUUGAUAUUUGGGAACGCAAUAAGGAAUUGAUCCGCAAGCGCACGGAUAUCGGUGAGCACUUCACCUGGGAGGUUAUCCAGAGUUAUCGUAUUUAUAUUUUUACCACUAGGAGAAAGAGUGCAUCUGACUAACCGGUCUAUUACUACUAACCUUUAGGCACAAAGAAUGUCUUUUGAUGUGAGUGAUAAAUAGAGAAGACUGCAACCGUAGUUGUUGAUAUUUGGGAACGCAAUAAGGAAUUGAUCCGCAAGCGCACGGAUAUCGGUGAGCAUUUCACCUGGGAAAUUAUCCAGAGUAUCGUAUUUAUUUUUUUACCACUAGGAGAAAGAGUGCAUCUGACUAACCGGUCUAUUACUACUAACCUUUAGGCACAAAGAAUGUCUUUCGAUGUGAGUGAUAAAUAGAGAAGACUGCAACUGUAGUCUCCUUCUAACCUUGGUAAGGAUGAUCUACUGUUCUAAUGGGGAGGCUAACGGAAUCUAGACACCACAAAGGAUGUUCGACCCGCACCUAUAAACCCUAUCCUUCAUGCUAACGAGAUGUGAUCUACAAAGAUAGCUCGGAAAUGUCACGUUCCUCACUACUACCACGGUCCAGCUAGUCAGGGAAUAUCUAUGAGUACCCCAGCCUAAACACCACGUUUACGCCAGCAAUGAUUACUCUAAACUCUACGCGAAGAGAUUAAAGUAAACUCAUAAACCAUAAGAACAAUAAAACAAGAACUUACUAGAAUUUAGAAGUCGAAUUACUGAAGAAUCCUAGGAGCAAGCUUCGGGUUAGGAGAACUUGAUCCCGCAGGUACAAGCUUGGAGUAGACACCGACAGGCCGGGCUUCCUCCACUCUACACCUCCACUCUAUCUCUCUCAAUCUAGUAGAAACUAGAAGAUCUAUUUCUACCUUACAUUGAUUGCUAAGCAUAAAAAAAAUAUUAAUUAGAGAAGAGGUUUUCCUUCGAGGGCACCCCUCAGUCUCUAUGAUAAUUUCUUCAUGUCUUCCAGGGGCCAGGGGGGCCUCGCUUAUAUAGUCCUCCCCUUCUAUGCGUUUUUGGGUCGAUAGCCGAGGUGGUACUAUGUUUUUCUUGAUCCAAUAGGUCGGUGGAAUAUCCCGAGCGAAGGAGUCCUGAAUUGGCUCCAGAAGGGGGGCGGGCGCCCAGGCUUCCAGGGCGGGCGCCCUGGGCCUGGCCCAGCUUCGCCUCCGCUUCGGUCUCGUGGCUUCUGGAGUCUUCUAGGUGAUGCAAAAUUGCGCGGUGCGUUGAUAUCUCUAUGUAAUCCUGACAUGUGGGCCUUUCUUCCUUAUUUCCUGAUAACCCCCUGCAGAAAUAGAUAAACAACAAAACUCGUGGAAUUCUGUCAGGUCAAACCCUAAUUCUAUGUGCUGGUUGCAUAUUGGUCCUUUCUCUUGUUUAUUUGAUAAUUAAAAUUGAUACUUAAGAACCGUCAACAAAUACCCCCAUACUUAGGCUUUUACUCGUCCUCGAGAAAAGGAUGGUUAAGAAAAAUAUCUGGGGUAAAACAUUUUAAAGCAUUUUAUAUUUGCAGGGUGUUAAAAAUUCCACUGUGUACCAUAGUCAGGGAAGUAUAUGAUUAAGAGUAAAGAUCCUUUCUUCUCAAUCCUGUCACUUGGAGUUUUUGUAUAUUUUUAAAAGAAAGUUAGCAUACCUUUUUAUCCUCAUAGGUUCUCUCAGAUCACUCAUUAUCUUUUGUAUAUAUAUCUCACUGAGGUUGUUUUAUUUUGCAAAAAUUCUUAAGCAUACUCACUUUGCAUUUAUUGCCUGAUCAAAACGGGAUCCGAGGAGGGGAAUGUCAUACUCUUAGAUCAAAGACUUUAAAAACUUUGUCAACUCUUGCUGGCAUAUUGCUUAUUAGAGGGACCAUGGGCUAUCAUUUUUUCUCUCUUUUUUUUAAGUGGAUACCGAGGUACCCCUAAUUCUACUGCCAGACACUUGUCCAUUUUUUCUGCGAGGUUGUCGAGCACUUGCUCCUUUUUAUUUCCUCGAAAUAUCUUCUAUUUUUGCAUAGCCCAUGCCUCUAAUGCAAUAAUACUUCAGAAGAGUGAAUCUUUCUGAAAUAAUGUCUUGAUCUUGGGAGCAUGAUAAAUCUCUCAACAAGGGUCUAACUCAUUUUGAACAAACUCAAUACAGAGCAGAUAGCUUUUAUAAUCAUAAUUAAUAUUUCAGUUUUAUCAGGCAUAUAAAACACUGAGGAUGGUAGCUAGAAAUUUGAAUAUUUUGAAAUAAGUUCUCCAAGCAACAAUGAUAUCAAGAAUAAGAAACUUAUACUCUAUCAUCACAUAUUCCAUUUGACUUAAGUAACACAUUGUUUUAAAAUGAUUUUAUAAUAAUUGCAAGUUUUCAGGAAAUAUCACAGAUUGAGAUUAAUCAUGAUUAGAAAUAUUUUAAUCUUUUUAAUUUAUCAUGUCAGAAACAGUAAUCUGCAUAAUCCAAAAUAUGUGUAAAGUAAAGUGUGCAGAGUGUGUACCUGAGUGGUGGAGUGGUGUAGUCGGAGUGUGGUUGGCAUGUUGAGGGAUCUCCCCCAUACUUGUUUUCUGCUUUCUUGCACAAAAGUAAAGUAGAGACACACAAGACAUAAUAAUAAUAGUAAUACUCUUUAUUGAUCUUGAGGCAUUUAUGACAAAAAGACUGAUAGCAAACUGAUAACAAACUGAUAAUAACAAACUGAUAAUAGCAAACUUAAACCCAAUUUAAAGACAGAUAAGAUGUAUUGCCUCAAGGUCUAAUCUAGAUAACUUAGCGGCGCUCUAAUUCCUUGAUCUUCUUGUUGGCACUGGCAAGAUCCUGCCUAAGGCCUAGUAUAAUGGUGUUGUGGUC
rnacentral:lncRNA from 1 species